ensembl:lncRNA
GUAAAGAAUCCGCCUCCAAUGCGGGAGACCCGGGUUCGAUCCCUUGGUUGGGAAGAUCCCCUAGAAGAAGGCAUAGCAACCUACUCCAGUAUUCUUGCUGGGAAACCCCAUGGACAGAGGAGCCUUAGGGGCUACGCAAAGAGUCGGAAACGACUGAGCGACUAAGCACAGCACAGCACAGUACGGAAUGGGACCCAGGAUUUAUGGAACACUCAGAGUGCUGCCAAUUUGCAGCCUACGUAGGAGAGUUCUGCUUUAAAAUCUCCGACAUAGGUGAACUAAUAUAAAACUGUUGCAGUGCUCCUUUGGUGGUGCUGAGUGCAGUUGCAAAUGCUUCCAGAUCAUUGUCUGCCUGACCCCAACUUGUGAGUUACCUGGAAAAGGACUGUGAACAAAGCUACACCCUCAGUGUUACAAGACAGAGGAGAGUAACUACCUACAUAUUAUGAAACCUUCACAGAUAAGUAUGAAUUUCCCCCAAGAUAAGUAUAACAACAUAGGAAAUAUCAUAGGUGUGAAGUUCCAGAUGUGGCCAUCUGGAAAUAAGAAAAAAUUUGGUUGUAAGUACAUUCAUCAAAUUGUUUACAAUAGUGAAAAAUGGAAACAGCUGCCCAACCACAGAAGACUGAUUAAAUACAAUAUAUCCAUACUUAAGAAUAA